UACAGAGGGUGCGAGCGUUAAUCGGAAUUACUGGGCGUAAAGCGUGCGCAGGCGGUUUUGUAAGCCAGAUGUGAAAGCCCCGGGCUUAACCUGGGAAUGGCAUUUGGGACUGCAAGGCUGGAGUGUGGCAGAGGAGACUGGAAUUCCUGGUGUAGCAGUGAAAUGCGCAGAUAUCAGGAAGAACACCAAUGGCGAAAGCAGCUUUCUGGGACGGUACUGACGCUGAGACGCGAAAGCGUGGGGAGCGAACAGG
rnacentral:rRNA from 1 species